rnacentral:sRNA from 1 species
UUUCCUAAUAACAUUCUCAACAAUGCAUCAUACAUAUAAUUCAUAAAUCAUGUUUGUAUUAAACCAAUUUAAGAGAGGGUAGUGUUGGAUUCUAGAAACCUAAAAAUUUGAUGAUGGAACUCUUUACGUAUUUUUCACCCUCAGAGAUUUAUUAUAUAAAUAUCCAUUUAAGAGAAUA